rnacentral:rRNA from 1 species
CAAACUUGAGAGUUUGAUCCUGGCUCAGAAUGAACGCUGGCGGCAUGCCUAACACAUGCAAGUCGAACGAGACCUUCGGGUCUAGUGGCGCACGGGUGCGUAACGCGUGGGAAUCUGCCCUUGGGUUCGGAAUAACAGUUAGAAAUGACUGCUAAUACCGGAUGAUGUCGUAAGACCAAAGAUUUAUCGCCCAAGGAUGAGCCCGCGUAGGAUUAGCUAGUUGGUGAGGUAAAGGCUCACCAAGGCGACGAUCCUUAGCUGGUCUGAGAGGAUGAUCAGCCACACUGGGACUGAGACACGGCCCAGACUCCUACGGGAGGCAGCAGUGGGGAAUAUUGGACAAUG